rnacentral:misc_RNA from 1 species
GAUGAAGAACGCAGCGAAAUGCGAUAAGUAGUGUGAAUUGCAGAAUUCAGUGAAUCAUCGAAUCUUUGAACGCACAUUGCGCCCCUUGGUAUCCCGAGGGGCAUGCCUGUUCGAGCGUCAUUUCACCACUCAAGCCUGGCUUGGUGUUGGGCGACGUCCCCUUUGGGGACGCGCCUCGAAACGCUCGGCGGCGUGGCACCGGCUUUAAGCGUAGCAGAAUCUUUCGCUUCGGAAGUCGGGGCCCCGUCUGCCGGAAGACCUACUCGCAAGGUUGACCUCGGAUCAGGCAGGGAUACCCGCUGAACUUAAGCAUAUCAAUAAGCGGAGGA